UAGACCAAAAGAUAGGACCUCAAAAAAGACUCUAAAAGCCAAAGUGGUCUAGAUUUGAAAAGCUCCAACUGAAACUUAUGGUCUAUUCGGGCUUCUCAGCUUCCAAUACAUUUGACAAAAAUUGGAAAAGUGGUCAAUCGAAACUCCCUUUGUUCUCCAUUUUGAUCGACAAGAGAAACUCUGCCUCCAGCAACUAGCGACUGAGAAGCACCGAUGCAGUCUUAACACAAAGCAUGGGUUGGUGGAGCCAGACUUAAAUGAUGACAACUCCAUGUGGCAGAGGUUCAUUGAGAGUGAAGUAGAUGCUCUAAGUGGAAGUUUGGCCACAGGCGGCAAUACUAGUUGAUACGCAAUAUGGAUGGAAUGGUUGAGUCAAAGCAAAUGAGAAGAGUGGUACAUUUUUGGAUCAUCAAUAUUUAUGGCAAGCCAAUCUGCAGUCUUGAGCUGUGUAUGUUGAAGCUUUCAGAUGAACCCGUGGUGCAGUCUUGAGCUGUGUCUGUACCUGGGGCAUGGAUGGAAUGGUUGAGUCAAACCAUAUGGGAAGAGUGGAGAAGGUGAUUUAGAUGGUGCAAUGGAGAAUUUUGUGGAGUCAGCAAGAUGGAGAAGAGCGCUGAAGAUUGAAGCCAAAGAUUUUCUCUUUGAGGAAAUGAGAAUCAGAGGAAGACCGACUUGAAGAUCAGAGAGAAGAAGAUGGUUAUGGUGUUGCUAGUAGGUAAAGAGAGUAUUGAAUGGUUCGAAAAAGCUUUGUGACAGGAGCUAUAUCCUGUCAGAAAUCUAUCUGGAAGGACAUGAAGGUGAAGAAGAUAGGAGGCAUGUAGUAGAGCGUAAGAGGAAUACAAAAGGUUUGUUCAUAGCACUUCACGAGUUCUUUAGUAAUGGAAGAAAACAGGUAGAGUGCUUUCCAGAAGGAAGAAAGGGCUGUGGUUGGAAAGAAGUGUUUGCACUGCUCUUGGACUUGUCGAAGAGAUCAAACAAAGAGCAGGUAGGGGCUGUUGAAGAGAUAGAAGAAGUCAACCAGAACCAUGGUAGUGGUAAGGAGGAGGCACCCUGUCAGGAGUUUGUAUCCAUGGAACAAAAUAAUGAUAAUCACAAGUUGGAGAUUAAUUUUGGCGCAGAAAAUUGGGGGG